rnacentral:lncRNA from 1 species
AUAUCAUAAUUGUCACCAUCCAAUUUCUCGCAUUUGAUCAAAUUCGUAACAACUUGUUUGGAGGCUAUUUAAUCUAACUAAAUCCACACAAUGUAUAAAAAAAAUUAGCACACAAUACAUAUAUUCAAUUUUAUCGCAUUUCUAAUUAAAUAAAUUAAAUUUUUGAUCGCAUUCCUAAUUAAAUAAAUUAAUAAUUUGAUCAUAAAUGCGUAAAGAAAAAUUUCGCUAUACUCAAAAUCACAUCAUACACCCUACGUUAAAUUUUUAAUUAUUUAAUUAUAUU